rnacentral:rRNA from 1 species
CGGGACGGGUGAGUAAUGUCUGGGAAACUGCCUGAUGGAGGGGGGUAACUACUGGAAACGGUAGCUAAUACCGCAUAACGUCGCAAGACCAAAGAGGGGAACCUUCGGGCCUCUUGCUAUCGGAUGUGCCCAGAUGGGAUUAGCUAGUAGGUGGGGUAACGGCUCACCUAGGCGACGAUCCCUAGCUGGUCUGAGAGGAUGACCAGCCACACUGGAACUGAGACACGGUCCAG